rnacentral:rRNA from 1 species
ACGAACGCUGGCGGCGUGCUUAACCCAUGCCAGUCGUACGGUAAGGCCCUUUCGGGGGUACACGAGUGGCGACCGGGUGAGUAACACGUGAGUAACCUGCCCACAACUUUGGGAUAACGCUAGGAAACUGGUGCUAAUACUGGAUAUGUGCUCCUGCUGCAUGGUGGGGGUUGGAAAGCUCCGGCGGUUGUGGAUGGACUCGCGGCCUAUCAGCUUGUUGGUGGGGUAGUGGCCUACCAAGGCGGCGACGGGUAGCCGGCCUGAGAGGGUGACCGGCCACAUUGGGACUGAGAUACGGCCCAGACGCCUACGGGAGGCAGCAGUGGGGAAUAUUGCACAAUGGGCGCAAGCCUGAUGCAGCAACGCCGCGUGCGGGAUGACGGCCUUCGGGUUGGAAACCGCUUUCAGCAGGGACGAAGCUUUUUGUGACGGUACCUGCAGAAGAAGCACCGGCUAACUACGUG